rnacentral:rRNA from 1 species
AGGGCUCGCAAGGCGGUUUUUUAAGUUCCUGAAGGUGAAAGCCCCCGGCUCAACCGGGGAAGGGUCAUUGGAAACUUGGGGAACUUGAGUGCAGAAGAGGAGAGUGGAAUUCCACGUGUAGCGGUGAAAUGCGUAGAGAUGUGGAGGAACACCAGUGGCGAAGGCGACUCUCUGGUCUGUAACUGACGCUGAGGAGCGAAAGCGUGGGGAGCGAACAGGAUUAGAUACCCUGGUAGUCCACGCCGUAAACGAUGAGUGCUAAGUGUUAGGGGGUUUCCGCCCCUUAGUGCUGCAGCUAACGCAUUAAGCACUCCGCCUGGGGAGUACGGUCGCAAGACUGAAACUCAAAGGAAUUGACGGGGGCCCGCACAAGCGGUGGAGCAUGUGGUUUAAUUCGAAGCAACGCGAAGAACCUUACCAGGUCUUGACAUCCUCUGACAAUCCUAGAGAUAGGACGUCCCCUUCGGGGGCAGAGUGACAGGUGGUGCAUGGUUGUCGUCAGCUCGUGUCGUGAGAUGUUGGGUUAAGUCCCGCAACGAGCGCAACCCUUGAUCUUAGUUGCCAGCAUUCAGUUGGGCACUCU